UGCCUGCUAGUUAUUAUUAAUUUAGGGCGACUUAGUUUCUCUUGGUCUUGCAGAGGAAGGAAGUAAGUAAGGAAGGAAGAUGGCAGGAGUGGAAGCGAGGGUUUCCCUAGAAGACCUCAAGAAGAAAAUGGCUGACUUUGCAAAGGAAAGAGACUGGGACCAGUUUCAUAGUCCUAGAAAUCUCCUUUUGGCCCUGGUGGGAGAAGUAGGUGAAUUGUCUGAGAUAUUUCAGUGGAAAGGAGAGGUUCCAAGAGGGCUCCCUGAUUGGAAAGGUGAAGAGAAAGAGCACCUUGGAGAGGAGCUAUCAGAUGUGUUGUUGUAUCUUGUUAGGCUCUCUGAUGUAUGCGGUGUUGAUCUUGGUAAAGCUGCCAUGAGAAAGCUGGAGAUCAAUGCCAUCAAGUACCCUGUUCAGCUCUGUAAGGGCUCCUCAGAAAAAAAAAGGCCAAUCAACGCAGGCAACAAUGCUAGUGGUGAUGGUGUUACAGGGAGCAUUUAUAGCAACAGCAGCACAAGUAACAGUAAUGGUGUCUGAUGUUCUGAGAUUAUGUCCUCUCUGACUUUCGUAGCAGGCCUCCCGUCUGAGAUGGAUUUGGAACGAACUUGAUGUUGAUGUUGAAGUGGAGUGGAGUGGAGUGAAUAGUGUCUCGCUUUGCAUUAGUGCAAUGGUGGAUUGGUGAAUUAAAUUAUCUUAAUUUUAAUAUUUUUCUUAAUUAUCUUGUUUUAUUUACUAAUUUAAUGACGAGCUUUUAUGCAUGAUUUAAAUAUUUAUAAAAAUCAAAGUGGUUGUUUUUAAUACAA